AAUUAAUCGAUAUUAAUACGUAUUAUUAUGGUAAUGUUUAGCCAUCACGGUGCACGAUUCAUAAUAAUAAUAAUAACUAAAUAUAUUCCUGCGCUAAAUUUAUUAUAAUUUAUCUAUUCUCCAAUCUUAUUGAGUUAUAUUGCAUUUCUCGGAUACUCGAGGCGCACGAGUUGCACAGGUCUGUAGCUAUAAAUCGAAAUUUCGUAGGCACGCGUAUUCUUUUUUAAGGCGAUUAAAAAAUCGAUAAAACUGAUGCGAUUUGAAUUGAUAAACAAGUCGCUAUUGAUAAAAUAAUAAAUCUAAGAUGUUCGAAAACGUUGCAAAAUAUUUGUGUUAUCGUUUUAAAAUUAUUGUUAUACUGAUUUUUUGUACACGAAUUAUUAUGUUCGCAUCACGGACCACUUUUUCCAACAUUAAUAAUGUUCAUCGGCAUCGAGGUAUUAUAUCCUCGACUGCACAGCACAUAAGUUCGCGGUCGAAGCUUCAAACGAUUUGGCGCGUUUCUAUAAUAUAAGUAAUAGAUCAUAGUUUCGAAUUGAGGACAUCCUCCUAAUGUUUAUGAGUAAUGUAACGAAAUAUUUAUGUUUUCGUGUAUGUGUAAUGAUGAUGGGUUUUGCAAGCGUUUCGGCCGUACGUACAGACGAUGGGGUUCAUUACUCAGCGGACAAUAAUGAAUAUACAGUGUGUCUCACGAAGAUAUACCCAUUGCAAUAUCUCCUGAGAUAAUAAAGAUAAUCAAAUUUUUAUAUUAAUCGCAAGGUCUACAAAUAUUUAUAUUUUAAUUCAAUUUUUAUGUUUUAUAAAAUUAAGUUUUUAUUGUAUUAUUUUCGAACAAUUUGAAAAUAGCCAUUUUGUAGAAUUUAUUUUUCUGAACAUUUUGACGGAUCAACUUUUUAUUUUAAUUUAAGUCGUGAUUUUUAAUAAUUUUUUAAAGUAUACAGAGAAAAGUAUCUAUAAUUAUAUGCAGCAGGCUGUAAUCACAUUCGCUAAUAUUCGAAUAUUAUUAUUAUGGUUUAUUGACUGCGCGCUUUUUUUUUCUGGACUUGAAAAUCAAACUUUCGACACGUCAAAAUGUUCAGAAAAAUAAACCCAAAGAGAUAAUGCGAUGUUUAUAUAUAUCUUUGUGGGACACCCUGUAUAAAUGUAUAUAUGUACGGUUAUAAUAUUAUAUACCUCGAUUUGACCUUAUUUUGUAAUAACACAAAAAAAAAAAAAAAAAAAAAAUAAUAAAAAAACCGAUUCCCUCGAAGUUUACAGUAUCUAUUCGAAUUUAAACGCGUUAAUUAUAACAUAAUAUUUGAAACAUACCUAAUUGAAUAUAUAAUAAUUCCGAGCGAUGAAACGUGUAUUACAUACAUUUUGUAUUAUUAUUACUAUUAAAUUGUGUCGUUGUAAACGUAUCUUCCUUUCGGUUUUGCCGUUUAUCACAAUAAUAGUUCUUUACGCGAAAUAUUGGGAAAUAAAAAAAAAAAAAAAAUAAUAAAAAAACCGAUUCCCUCGAAGUUUACAGUAUCUAUUUUUAUGUUUGGAUUGCGUACAACUUUUGCAUGGAUGUUUUAUAUAUAGUAAUAGCGUAAAAUCGUGAAAAUCCGAAUCGCACCACACUGCGCAGAGCACACAAAUUAUGUUUCGUUACAGGUCGACUAAUAGGAUGCGUACAUAAUAAUAAAAUAUUAAUCACGAAUUAUGUUCGUAAUUUACUCACAGUGUAUUUAAUCCGAUACAGGGCAUUAAGAUAAUUAAUUCGGUAUUACGCGUAAUCAAUGGGAAAUUAAUUCGGAGUCUUAUUAUUUAGGCAUACGCCGGUUCGGGUCUCUUAAACGUCAAUCGAUUGUAGAUUUAUUAGAUAUUAUCGGGAGAAAAAAACCCUACUAAAUGUAUACACGCGUAUUAACUCAAUAAGUUUAUCUCUAAACGAUUAUUAUAAUUACUUCAACUUGUACCCGGGCAUAAAGCAGCCCCGCGGGAUUUUAAAUAUUCCCGGAAAAUCACUAUAAACAGCUGCAAAUUCGCUCGGAAAUAUAAAAAUCAAUUUCAAAAAUGUUCGUCGAAACUCACCGCUAAUCCUAACCGAACCCACACGCCCCUCGCC
rnacentral:lncRNA from 1 species